rnacentral:sRNA from 1 species
CACUAUAGAGAAAGAAUUGAUCAGUUUUUGCUUGGACACCAAAGGAAAAGAAAACCGCCUGUGCUAUUAUCUAGGAGCCACAAAAGACGCAGCCACAAAGAUCCUAAGUGAAGUCACUCGCCCAAUGAGUGUGCAUAUGCCUGCAAUGAAGAUUUGUGAGAAGCUGAAGAAGUUGGAUAGCCAGAUCUAAAAAACACUGGACUUGGCAUCAGUUGACCUGCGGAAGAUGAGAGUGGCAGAGCUGAAGCAGAUCCUGCAUAGCUGGGGGGAGGAGUGCAGGGCCUGUGCAGAAAAAACUGACUAUGUGAAUCUCAUUCAAGAGCUGGCCCCCAAGUAUGCAGCAACACACCCCAAAACAGAGCUCUGAUCUCCAAUGCCAGCACAUUUGUGACUUGUAAUUAGAGAGAAAAGUGACUCUCUAGGAUAUGGACAUGUUGAUUAAGGAUAACUGGGAAUGCAUCA